CUCCGCCUCUGAGUCCUCCUCUGAGUAGCUCUGUUGUUCAUACUGUUGAACUCUUCCUACUAAUUCUUUAACCAUAGCCUUUAAUUGUGAUACCUCCUGUCUUAAUAAAACCGUCUCUGAAGUCGCUGACGACACAUGUUCUGCACACUCGGUUAAGGGUCUGGAUGGCCGGCCAUAGACUCGGUUUGGUAGUCUUGUAGAUAUGUUGGAGGCACACUCUCUCUGUGUGGCCUUCCUCCUCCUCCUCCUCCUCCUCCAUGUUGUCCCUCUUCUCCAGCUGAAACAGCUUCUGGGUCCAUACUCCUACAUAGAUGUUCCUCCGGCUCGAAGGACCUUGAAAAAACUCUUAAUUGCUGAUGGUGUUGGUUCACUGAACAUCUGAUGUGGUGUGCACAUUUAAACACAGGAUCCAGUGCCGUUCCAAGGUUUUAUUGUUGUCAAGGCAGGGAGAAGGUUUACGCUGGUUGCAGGUGAAUAAUGGAUGGAUGGAUGAAUGGAUGAUUUUGUAUCAGUAAUGCAUCCACAGUCUGCACUGCAUCCACAAUCUGUACUUGGGCACAACUAUAAUAUUU